rnacentral:sRNA from 1 species
GAAUCACGGGCUCGUCACGCCGGGUAUCGGGCUGAUAGAAAAAUACUGUCCUGCUCAGUGAUAACGUCCUGCAUGCCUGACGUGUGCUCAUCGCAAACUGCGAGACCAGAUAACGGACGAACUCACGCUUUAUCACUGGUUUU